AUUGAACGCUGGCGGAAUGCUUUACACAUGCAAGUCGAACGGCAGCACGGACUUCGGUCUGGUGGCGAGUGGCGAACGGGUGAGUAAUGUAUCGGAACGUGCCCAGUCGUGGGGGAUAACGUAGUGAAAAUUACGCUAAUACCGCAUACGAUCUAUGGAUGAAAGCGGGGGAUCGCAAGACCUCACGCGAUUGGAGCGGCCGAUAUCAGAUUAGGUAGUUGGUGGGGUAAAGGCCCACCAAGCCAACGAUCUGUAGCUGGUCUGAGAGGACGACCAGCCACACUGGAACUGAGACCAGGUCCAGACUCCUACGGGAGGCAGCAGUGGGGAAUUUUGGACAAUGGGCGAAAGCCUGAUCCAGCCAUUCCGCGUGCAGGAUGAAGGCCCUCGGGUUGUAAACUGCUUUUGUACAGAACGAAAAGGUUUCUACUAAUACUAGGAGCUCAUGACGGUACUGUAAGAAUAAGCACCGGCUAACUACGUGCCAGCCGCCGCCGUAA
rnacentral:rRNA from 1 species